rnacentral:rRNA from 1 species
AUUGAACGCUGGCGGCAGGCCUAACACAUGCAAGUCGAACGGUAACAGGAAGCAGCUUGCUGCUUCGCUGACGAGUGGCGGACGGGUGAGUAAUGUCUGGGAAACUGCCUGAUGGAGGGGGAUAACUACUGGAAACGGUAGCUAAUACCGCAUAACGUCGCAAGACCAAAGAGGGGGACCUUAGGGCCUCUUGCCAUCGGAUGUGCCCAGAUGGGAUUAGCUAGUAGGUGGGGUAACGGCUCACCUAGGCGACGAUCCCUAGCUGGUCUGAGAGGAUGACCCGCCACACUGGAACUGAGACACGGUCCAGACUCCUACGGGAGGCAGCAGUGGGGAAUAUUGCACAAUGGGCGCAAGCCUGAUGCAGCCAUGCCGCGUGUAUGAAGAAGGCCUUCGGGUUGUAAAGUACUUUCAGCGGGGAGGAAGGGAGUAAAGUUAAUACCUUUGCUCAUUGACGUUACCCGCAGAAGAAGCACCGGCUAACUCCGUG